rnacentral:rRNA from 1 species
GAUUAAGUUAUUAAGGGCGCACGGUGGAUGCCUUGGCACUAGAAGCCGAUGAAGGACGUUACUAACGACGAUAUGCUUUGGGGAGCUGUAAGUAAGCUUUGAUCCAGAGAUUUCCGAAUGGGGAAACCCAGCAUGAGUUAUGUCAUGUUAUCGAUAUGUGAAUACAUAGCAUAUCAGAAGGCACACCCGGAGAACUGAAACAUCUUAGUACCCGGAGGAAGAGAAAGAAAAUUCGAUUCCCUUAGUAGCGGCGAGCGAAACGGGAAGAGCCCAAACCAACAAGCUUGCUUGUUGGGGUUGUAGGACACUCUAUACGGAGUUACAAAGGACGACAUUAGACGAAUCAUCUGGAAAGAUGAAUCAAAGAAGGUAAUAAUCCUGUAGUCGAAAAUGUUGUCUCUCUUGAGUGGAUCCUGAGUACGACGGAGCACGUGAAAUUCCGUCGGAAUCUGGGAGGACCAUCUCCUAAGGCUAAAUACUCUCUAGUGACCGAUAGUGAACCAGUACCGUGAGGGAAAGGUGAAAAGCACCCCGGAAGGGGAGUGAAAUAGAACCUGAAACCGUGUGCUUACAAGUAGUCAGAGCCCGUUAAUGGGUGAUGGCGUGCCUUUUGUAGAAUGAACCGGCGAGUUACGAUUUGAUGCAAGGUUAAGCAGUAAAUGUGGAGCCGUAGCGAAAGCGAGUCUGAAUAGGGCGUUUAGUAUUUGGUCGUAGACCCGAAACCAGGUGAUCUACCCUUGGUCAGGUUGAAGUUCAGGUAACACUGAAUGGAGGACCGAACCGACUUACGUUGAAAAGUGAGCGGAUGAACUGAGGGUAGCGGAGAAAUUCCAAUCGAACCUGGAGAUAGCUGGUUCUCUCCGAAAUAGCUUUAGGGCUAGCCUCAAGUGAUGAUUAUUGGAGGUAGAGCACUGUUUGGACAGGGGCCCUCUCGGGUUACCGAAUUCAGACAAACUCCGAAUGCCAAUUAAUUUAACUUGGGAGUCAGAACAUGGGUGAUAAGGUCCGUGUUCGAAAGGGAAACAGCCCAGACCACCAGCUAAGGUCCCAAAAUAUAUGUUAAGUGGAAAAGGAUGUGGCGUUGCCCAGACAACUAGGAUGUUGGCUUAGAAGCAGCCAUCAUUUAAAGAGUGCGUAAUAGCUCACUAGUCGAGUGACACUGCGCCGAAAAUGUACCGGGGCUAAACAUAUUACCGAAGCUGUGGAUUGUCCUUUGGACAAUGGUAGGAGAGCGUUCUAAGGGCGUUGAAGCAUGAUCGUAAGGACAUGUGGAGCGCUUAGAAGUGAGAAUGCCGGUGUGAGUAGCGAAAGACGGGUGAGAAUCCCGUCCACCGAUUGACUAAGGUUUCCAGAGGAAGGCUCGUCCGCUCUGGGUUAGUCGGGUCCUAAGCUGAGGCCGACAGGCGUAGGCGAUGGAUAACAGGUUGAUAUUCCUGUACCACCUAUAAUCGUUUUAAUCGAUGGGGGGACGCAGUAGGAUAGGCGAAGCGUGCGAUUGGAUUGCACGUCUAAGCAGUAAGGCUGAGUAUUAGGCAAAUCCGGUACUCGUUAAGGCUGAGCUGUGAUGGGGAGAAGACAUUGUGUCUUCGAGUCGUUGAUUUCACACUGCCGAGAAAAGCCUCUAGAUAGAAAAUAGGUGCCCGUACCGCAAACCGACACAGGUAGUCAAGAUGAGAAUUCUAAGGUGAGCGAGCGAACUCUCGUUAAGGAACUCGGCAAAAUGACCCCGUAACUUCGGGAGAAGGGGUGCUCUUUAGGGUUAACGCCCAGAAGAGCCGCAGUGAAUAGGCCCAAGCGACUGUUUAUCAAAAACACAGGUCUCUGCUAAACCGUAAGGUGAUGUAUAGGGGCUGACGCCUGCCCGGUGCUGGAAGGUUAAGAGGAGUGGUUAGCUUCUGCGAAGCUACGAAUCGAAGCCCCAGUAAACGGCGGCCGUAACUAUAACGGUCCUAAGGUAGCGAAAUUCCUUGUCGGGUAAGUUCCGACCCGCACGAAAGGCGUAACGAUUUGGGCACUGUCUCAACGAGAGACUCGGUGAAAUCAUAGUACCUGUGAAGAUGCAGGUUACCCGCGACAGGACGGAAAGACCCCGUGGAGCUUUACUGUAGCCUGAUAUUGAAAUUCGGCACAGCUUGUACAGGAUAGGUAGGAGCCUUUGAAACGUGAGCGCUAGCUUACGUGGAGGCGCUGGUGGGAUACUACCCUAGCUGUGUUGGCUUUCUAACCCGCACCACUUAUCGUGGUGGGAGACAGUGUCAGGCGGGCAGUUUGACUGGGGCGGUCGCCUCCUAAAAGGUAACGGAGGCGCUCAAAGGUUCCCUCAGAAUGGUUGGAAAUCAUUCAUAGAGUGUAAAGGCAUAAGGGAGCUUGACUGCGAGACCUACAAGUCGAGCAGGGUCGAAAGACGGACUUAGUGAUCCGGUGGUUCCGCAUGGAAGGGCCAUCGCUCAACGGAUAAAAGCUACCCCGGGGAUAACAGGCUUAUCUCCCCCAAGAGUUCACAUCGACGGGGAGGUUUGGCACCUCGAUGUCGGCUCAUCGCAUCCUGGGGCUGUAGUCGGUCCCAAGGGUUGGGCUGUUCGCCCAUUAAAGCGGUACGCGAGCUGGGUUCAGAACGUCGUGAGACAGUUCGGUCCCUAUCCGUCGUGGGCGUAGGAAAUUUGAGAGGAGCUGUCCUUAGUACGAGAGGACCGGGAUGGACAUACCUCUGGUGUACCAGUUGUCGUGCCAACGGCAUAGCUGGGUAGCUAUGUGUGGACGGGAUAAGUGCUGAAAGCAUCUAAGCAUGAAGCCCCCCUCAAGAUGAGAUUUCCCAACUUCGGUUAUAAGAUCCCUCAAAGAUGAUGAGGUUAAUAGGUUCGAGGUGGAAGCAUGGUGACAUGUGGAGCUGACGAAUACUAAUCGAUCGAAGACUUAAUCAA